AUGAAAAUUAUUAUAUACAAAUAAAUAAAAUAAUAUUAACAAAAUAAUCAUAAACCUUUAUUUAAAAAACCGAUAGGGAAAGUAACCCACUUUAAAAGAAAAAUAAUGUACCUUUUGUAUCAGGAAAUAUCUAAUUCAAAUUCAAAAAGAAAAUAAUCCCGAAAGCUAGAGACCUAUCUUAAUAAAAAUCAAUGUAACAAUAUAAAAUAAAUAUUAAGAUAGAAGCGAUAUACCUUACAUUCUUUCUGAUAUCUGGUUAAUUAAAAUUAAUUAUAGACUAAAAAUAUAUUAAAAUAAUUUUAUUAUAAAAUAUAAUUCAAAAACCAAAUACUUAAAGGACUAACAGUCUCCUAAUAGUUAUAAUAACCAUUUAAUUUCAACUCACUUAUAAAAAUAUUAAUUAUUAAUCAAACAAUAAAUAAUAAUGAUAAUAUUAGUAAUUAAACAAAAUUUGACUAAUAUAAAAAAUAAAAUAAUAUUUAAAAAUACUGACUAGAGAAUUCAACAAUAAUAAGCGCCUGUUUACCAAAAACAUCACUUUCUGAAAUAAUAGAAAGCUAUUCCUGCUCAGUGAUAUUAAAUAGCCGCAUUAUUUUGUGCUAAGGUAGCAUAAUAAUUAGCCUUCUAAUUAAAGGAUAGAAUGAAAGGACACACGACUUAUUAACUUUUCCAAUCAAUCAAAACUAACUUUAUUUAAAAGUAAAAAAGCUUUUAUAAAAUAGAAAGACGACAAGACCCUAUUGAACUUUACUAUUUGUUAGCUGGGGAGGCCAAAAACAACAUCUUAAUUACAUAUAAUUAUAUAGAACUAAGCAAUUUAAAUAUAAAAACAAGUUACCAUAGGGAUAACAGCGCAAUUUUACUAAAGAGAAAUAUCCAAAGUAAAGAUUACGACCUCGAUGUUGAAUUAAUUUAACUUCACAAAAUAAAAAAUGUCAAAGUAAGUCUGUUCGACUUAUAAAAUAUUACAUGAUUUGAGUUCAGACCGGCGUAAGCCAGGUCAGAUUUUAUCUUCUAAUAAAUUAUUAUAGUACGAAAGGACCUAAUAAAUAAUAUAAUUA
rnacentral:rRNA from 1 species